UACGGAAGGGGGCUAGCGUUGCUCGGAAUCACUGGGCGUAAAGCGCACGUAGGCGGAUUGUUAAGUCAGGGGUGAAAUCCCGAGGCUCAACCUCGGAACUGCCUUUGAUACUGGGGAUCUCGAGUCCGGGAGAGGUGAGUGGAACUGCGAGUGUAGAGGUGAAAUUCGUAGAUAUUCGCAAGAACACCAGUGGCGAAGGCGGCUCACUGGCCCGGAACUGACGCUGAGGUGCGAAAGCGUGGGGAGCA
rnacentral:rRNA from 1 species